AUUGAACGCUGGCGGCAGGCCUAACACAUGCAAGUCGAACGAGUGGCGGACGGGUGAGUAAUGUCUGGGAAACUGCCUGAUGGAGGGGGAUAACUACUGGAAACGGUAGCUAAUACCGCAUACCAUCGGAUGUGCCCAGAUGGGAUUAGCUAGUAGGUGGGGUAAAGGCUCACCUAGGCGACGAUCCCUAGCUGGUCUGAGGGGAGGACCAGCCAUGCUGUAACUGAGACAGGGUCGAGACGCCUACGGUAGGCAGCAGGGGGGAAUAGUGCACAAUGGGCGCAAGCCUGAUACAGCCAUGCCGCGUGUAUGAAGAAGGCCGUCGGGUUGUAAAGUACUUUCAGCGGUGAGGCGUUACCCUCAGAAGAAGCACCGGCUAACUCCGUGCCAGCAGCCGCGGUAAUAC
rnacentral:rRNA from 1 species